GACGAACGCUGGCGGCAUGCCUAAUACAUGCAAGUCGAGCGAACAGAUGAAGUGCUUGCACUUCUGACGUUAGCGGCGAACGGGUGAGUAACACGUAAGGAAUCUACCCAUAAGCGGGGGAUGACAUUCGGAAACGGGUGCUAAUACCGCAUAAUAUCUUCUUCCGCAUGGAAGAAGAUUGAAAGACGGCUCUGCUGUCACUUAUAGAUGACCUUGCGGUGCAUUAGUUAGUUGGUGGGGUAACGGCCUACCAAGACGAUGAUGCAUAGCCGACCUGAGGGGGUGCUCGGCCACAGUGGAACGGGGACACGACACAAACUCCUACGGGAGGCAGCAGCAGGGAAUCUUCCGCAAUGGGCGAAGGCCUGACGGAGCAAUGCCGCGUGAGUGAAGAAGGCCUUCGGGUCGUAAAACUCUGUUAUAAGAGAAGAACAAAUUGUAGAGUAACUGCUACAGUCUUGACGGUAUCUUAUCAGAAAGCCACGGCUAACUACGUGCCAGCAGCCGCCGUAA
rnacentral:rRNA from 1 species